UACGUAGGGCGCAAGCGUUAUCCGGAAUUAUUGGGCGUAAAGAGCUCGUAGGCGGUGUGUCACGUCGUUCGUGAAAACCUGCAGCUUAACUGUGGGCGUGCGGUCGAUACGGGCAUCACUGGAGUUCGGCAGGGGAGACUGGAAUUCCUGGUGUAGCGGUGAAAUGCGUAGAUAUCGGAAGGAACAUCAGUGGCGAAAGCGGCUUCCUGGUCCAGCACCGACGUUCAGGCACGAAAGCGUGGGGAGCAAACAGG
rnacentral:rRNA from 1 species